rnacentral:misc_RNA from 1 species
AAUCGUACAAAAAAGCCUCGGGUCAAGUGGUGAAUUUCAAAAAAUCCUUAAUUUCUUUCAGCUCGAGUACUUGUCAUGAUCGAGUUGUGGAAAUUUGUAAUGCUCUCCAUAUUACUCAUAAGGAAGAUUAUGGUUCUUAUUUGGGCCUUCCUUCGCAUGUUGGUAGGAAUCAUAGAGUUGUAUUUGAAUUUGUUAAAGAUAGAGUUUGGAAGCGCUUUUAGGGGUUGGAAAGAAAUCUUUUGUCGAGAGCGGGGAAAGAAGUGCUUCUAAAGUUGG